rnacentral:misc_RNA from 1 species
GUGCCCGGACCAGUCUGUGCGUGGAGUGCUCGCGUGCGGCCGGCUGACUCCCUCCCGCGCGGCCCGGUGGACCCAGACCUAACGACCUGACCUGACGCCCGCACGAAUCCGCAGAAAACGUUUGCUGUAAGUAAUCAGUGGGCAGUUACCAGCUGAAUACCUUUAUUCAUGGCGUCUGAGCGGCCUGGCCUCACUGGUGAGACUCCGACACCGCCCGAUGGCGCCGGGGCGGCAGCGGCUGCCGACUGCUACUCCCUGACCGAGGUCGUCACCACCUCACAGCUCCUGGAAGACCUGGGAGGUUACGUCAUCACGCUAUGGGUUGUCGUCGGUCUAGAGGUGUUGUUUCUGUACGGUCUUCUGGCCAAGACGCUGUGGAGCGUGUACCACAAUGAGCGACUGCCCAAGCUCUGGCGGUCUGGAACCGUCUGGGCUAACUCAGUGCCCUCCUUUGUUGCUUUGAUGUGCCUCGGAAGCCUGAUUGUCCCGGCAUCCGACAGGCUUUUACGUGCGGUAAGGCUCAUAUAUCUGAGUGUUUCCCUGUCCAAGUUCGUCGAGCUGUGCCUGCUGUACUUUGGCGGCGAGUCGCGACUGCUGGCUGCCGUGGAGGGCAGCGCCGUUCCCCUGGCUGUUCCCCCGUGCUGCUGCUGCUGCCGUCCCUGCUGUCCGAGACCCACAAUCACAAAGCAUCUGGCGGUCCAGGAUACGUGAUUCUUAUGGCACUGCAUGCCGUGGCGUUUCUCCUUGGCAUGUACGGCCUGAUCAUGCUUGAGACAACCACGAAAGGACAACUGCAGAGCCUUCGCUAUCGGGCAAAGUUCGCGCUAAUGAAAUUCACCGUGGUGAUCAUCAACAUCCAAAAGUUUAUCUUUAGCAUCGUCAUAUCCACCGGUGGCUUUACAUGUACUGCUUCAAUGUCGCCAGAGGUCUACGGCGCGUUUAUCCUCAACAUUGUGAUCGCCGCCGAGAUGCUGCUGUUUGGCGUGCUCAACCACUGGGCCUACCAGGCGGACGGCAGGUCGGCUGACGACCUCACCGCGGCCGACCUGACCCCCUCCGGCAGCCCUGCCGACCGCGCCGACACUCCAACGUCACAGCAGACAUGGACGUCAACGGCGCAACGCGAGAACGUCGGCGCAAAAACGACCAACGGAUUCAGUGGAGCGUAGGCUGUGCCGCAAUGACUGUUACAUAACAGUGUUAUUAUGCUUCGCCUUCUUCGUUUCGGGUGACAAUGAGAUAAACAAAAUUAAACCAAAUGUUUCGGCUGUAUUGAUUGACUUUCUGUACUGGUUUAAAAAGGACAAUAAUAGAAAAAGAUGUCUGAGAAAUAUGAGGAAUAACAGUAUGUCGCCUUUUUAGUGGUAUUGGGUAUACAUACACUGUUUAGUGGAUACAUUGUUAGGUAGAACUCUACUCCCAACGACAUCGUCAUGUUUCAACCAACACAUUGCACUUAAUUAAUGCAUAUGUUCGCAUAGGCACCAGCCACCAGGUACUCAAGGUAGGCAACCCGCAUUGCACUCUGCGUGCAAUGCGCGUACCGGAGCGCCUUAGCCUUCGCAGAAUUCGAACAACUACCAUAAGGACAGUGCUUUGCGUUGCAGCCUCUGAAUAAUAUGGAGAACAUUUGGCUGCAAAUGAGAGCAUUAGGUGCCGAAAUAAACACAACUGCUUGAAUGGUCUAUCUGUAGUUAUAGUUUGCAAAGUAGUGUCUAUUUAAGCCGUCCAUCUGCUUUGUACCGAGUGUUUCAGCUCAAUUUCGAUAGUGCCCCUGGCCCAGGGCUGCGGAGUCGGGGUCGGAG